AGUGAACGCUGGCGGUAGGCCUAACACAUGCAAGUCGAACGGCAGCACAGGAGAGCUUGCUCUCUGGGUGGCGAGUGGCGGACGGGUGAGGAAUACAUCGGAAUCUACUCUGUCGUGGGGGAUAACGUAGGGAAACUUACGCUAAUACCGCAUACGACCUACGGGUGAAAGCAGGGGACCUUCGGGCCUUGCGCGAUUGACUGAGCCGAGGUCGGAUUAGCUAGUUGGCGGGGUAAAGGCCCACCAAGGCGACGAUCCGUAGCUGGUCUGAGAGGAUGAUCAGCCACACUGGAACUGAGACACGGUCCAGACUCCUACGGGAGGCAGCAGUGGGGAAUAUUGGACAAUGGGCGCAAGCCUGAUCCAGCCAUACCGCGUGGGUGAAGAAGGCCUUCGGGUUGUAAAGCCCUUUUGUUGGGAAAGAAAUCCAGCUGGCUAAUACCCGGUUGGGAUGACGGUACCCAAAGAAUAAGCACCGGCUAACUUCGUGCCAGCAGCCGCCGUAA
rnacentral:rRNA from 1 species